GCCUCUCCCACGGCCACGGCCGAGCGGGCUCCACGGCUCCAGGAGUUCGCCGCGCUAGCUGCCUCCCCCUGCGUCCGCGUCUUGGUACGCGCCGCAGCGCCUGAGGACUAAGUAGGGAGCGCUCGGGUGACUCACCCGCCGCGGGGACUGGGGGAGAGGGGGAGCAGGGCUGGGACUCCCCUUUCCCACCCUGGAGUUUGGGGGCUCUGGCACUGGGGCUGAGAGGGCAGCUUCGAGUCCAAAUUCUCGCUCAAACCCACCUAAACCAAAGCGGCCCGGGGGACGUCGGGAGGCAUGAAGGAGAGUCACAAGGAGACCCCUGAAAGGGUUUCGCUUUCUCUCCCCUGCUGAUGGCUGGGCUGGGGACAGGUCUGGGAGCCUUGCUGCCGCCCUUGCUCCGGCAUUCUGCGCUUGUGUCUUCCCUGCUCCUCUGGGGGUAAUUACAGCCCUGCGCAGCUGCCUUACCCAGGUCUCUAAUCUGCUGGGUCCCUCCCGGCUCCAAACUGGGUGGUCCUAGCCCUGGACCUCCCCCACCCCCACCAGACGACCCCGCCAAUCACCCCAGAAGGAUUUUCUCCCAGUGGUCUGUCGAUGAGGGGGUGGUGACCCCCUCCAGAAUCCACUCCCCAAAGUAGCCCUGCUUCCCAGCCCUCCAGAAUGGACUCCCAGCCCCCUUGUUGGUGCCAGCUGAGGUGAGGGCUUCAAGCCAAGCCAGGCCCAGCCCGGGGCAGAGUGGGGAGCUUGCUGGGAAGGUGGAUGGAUGAUGGUGGUGCUGCUGCAGGGACUUGGGUUGCGGGGGAGGAGGAGGGGCAGCUGUGCCCUGCCCACCCUGGCCCUGCCCUUUGUCCUGACUUCUAGAAGGUCAGUUCUCUAGUUCUUCA
rnacentral:lncRNA from 1 species